GUGUGCAACAACCUCCGGAUACCACUCUUAAUAAUACAGGCAUUUGUCAAAACAGCAGGGCCUCCUCCAGUAUUCACCUGGAAACCUCUGAAAUUUCCACCGGGCAUCCAAGACCAGUAGAUGGUGCUGUGGAACCUUCUUCUACAUUUCAACACAAUAAUGCUGUAGCUUUCCAGGCUUUAGGCUCCAGUAAUGUGCAGGACAGCUCUGUACAGAACAACUUUCAAUACCAGAAUCUAUUUCCCAGCAUGCUUCCAGAUCAUGUCCCAUCUGAUCCAGAUGAACCGUUUUUCAUUCUUUCUUUGACUGAGAUACCGGUCUGUCCAUCGGGGGAAGCUGUGGACUCUGAGCCCAAGUCUUGUCUCCCUCCAUCAGUUAUUGAGGCGCAGCAAAG
ensembl:lncRNA